CAUGGCGAGCCGAAGAGGCUGCGGGGCACAACUCCCCCAGCGCGAGAGAAGGAGGCCUUCAGGAGCUUGUUUGCACUCCGAGAUCGCGGAUACCCCAGAUAUUUAUGACUAGUUGAAUGUGCCCAAUAACCCUCGUUAUGAAAAAUAUUCACUGCUAGAAUAUAAUAACUUGAGCCACUCCAGUUUGUGGAUCCUUCCACAAACCAAGGCCUCUCGCAUCUCUCAUUUCCAAGAAGACCAUAAGAAAACCAGGCCAGGAAGGUCUCUGAACUUUAGGAGAAGCUUCAGAAAGUCUCCAGGAAAGACAAAGAGUGCACAGGGAGACUGUUCACAAUGUCUAAAUAUUUAUCCAGGAGAUGCGUAGUGAGGAAGAACUAAUUAGUAUUAAAGAUGUCAAAUAUCACACUUCUAAUUAUGUUAGCAAAGGUAGCACAACGGAAGGUAGAUCUGAAUGCACAUCUGAGAUCAUGAGACUCGCCGCCUCAUCCGUGACUCUGAAUUAUUACAUCACUCUGCUCAUUCCCAUCAGGUGCUGUUUUCUGACAGAGCGAUUUGCCUCUUACAGUUGCGAGAUGUUUCCAAGCCCCGUCUGUGCUGGGAGCUUUGCCUCCAGGAGCAGCUGUGGAUCACUGCUCACCAGAUACCACGGACCCCGCGUGGGACAGCACUGGCUCACCUUUGCUCAAGCAAUGCUGCAGAUAUCCUUAUCCACAGCUGUGUACCGUACUAUCCUCAGACAUUUUCAUACCAGAUUAAUUCCCUAUCACUGAAUUGGUUACAGACUUUUUGCAGUUAAGAAAGGUCAUGAAUUUGUACACUCUAUAUGACACUGAUAAUUAUCAAAAAGAUUUUAGGUAUUUAACAGAAUUAAAAUACAGUAUUUCAUGUUACAGAAUUGCCUCAGUGGAUGGAACCAAUAAUACCAACAGCAUGCUGAAAAAGUAUGGCAUGGCCUCCAGUUCACAGGGUAUCUCUGAUUUUCUUCUAAUGGAUAUACAAACACAAGAAGACAUCCAAACCUUGCUACCAAAACACAAGGAGAGUAACAGAAUGUAAACAUAAAGCUGCUAAUGUACACACUGACACAUGAAUGACAUUUACAUUGUUCAGAAUAAAAUCAAGGAUACUUUCAAAUAAUGAGCCACAGAAAAAUUGCUGGAGCAAAAUUGUCUUCAGAAUGAAACACAGGCUCAUUUGAAAUGAGAGUUUUUUCAUUAAAAAAAAUGGUGCAGCUAAUAAUAAAGUCUUUUAACCUGUAUUUUGUUAUAGGUGACAGGUGAACAAAUCACAGGUCUUGAGUUUCUCUACCCUGCCUCUCUUGGUAACGUCAUCUCCAGUACCAUCUGCUACCUACCAGACAAACAGACCAACCACAUAAUGAGGUACCAGCUUCCACCCAGCUACCGUGACUAAAUCAGAACAAAAGAUUCAACGCCUCCUUCAACAAAGGAACACAAGUCUAAGCUGUCUUUGCUAAUUGCUGGGUUUCAGGUUGUCUGUUACAGAUUUUAAGUGAGCUACAAACUUCCAUCAAAUACUUAUAGCUGUUGGAUAAAGAUACUAAGAAUAAAAAGAUAAAUGGAAGCAAAAGGCAAUGAUGUUGUUCUCCUAAAAUGUGAGCCAGUUUGCUUCCUGUCAGCAAGUGGAGCUCAGCUCAGCUCUUCCUCUCCCCGAGUUGCUGCAGACAGACCAGCAGCUCCGUGGACUGACUUGAAAUGGUUCGGGCAAAUUAUUACUCCAUUCAUGGAUCACCUUCUGCACUUCUUAUAUACUGAGUUAGACACUUUGGUCAUUUUAAAGUGAAGGAGAAUAAUGAAAUUAUCUUCACAAGGAACACUCUUCCAUUUAAAAAUAGGACAUUUCUUGUCACCAAUGCUGUCCCCAAAUUGUAAAUGAACGUAUUUUAAAAUAUUUUUUUCAGUAUUCCAGGGUAGGAAAUAUGUUAUAUCUGUUUCUUUUUGCAAAUGAUUGCUAUCCUUAUCUAGUUAGUACAGAAAUGGUGUCUGAGUCAUGGGAAAUUUAAGUGGUUUGUCUCAGGAAAAUUUGGUGGUAUGCAUGUUCAUGAUGCACAUAGAGCUACUGAAUGAAUAAUUGGCCCCUAUUUAAUGUCCUCUGCUUUAAAGCUGUCUAAUACAUUUGCUGUUUAAAAAAAUGUCUUUCAAAGCUGUUAAAUAUGUAACAAAAAGAGGUUGCUCUCCCCAUUCUGACAUGAACAAAGCCAUACAGUGAGCUGCCCGAGGUACUUCCAGCAUGGGAUUAAUUACAAACACAAUCAUAAAUGGAAAUUUUCAAAGUUUUCCAAUUCUUUUUCUUUGCAAUACCAGCUGAUGAGUAUUUGAUAAAAGAAUGCAGUAAAAAUAUUAGUCCAGGAAUUAGCUAUUAAAUAUUAAGCUAAGCAUUUUUCAGAGUAUGGGAUCUGUUGGAUCCCAUAAUUCCACCAUUUACCCCUGAUGGAGUGAGAUCUCUGGCUGUCUUCAGAAGCAAACCGAGCUUAAAACAGGAGCGCACUCUCAAGAAGAUGAUCGACUAAGAAUGUGUUUUAUUUUGAUUUGAAAAACUGUCAAUCACAAACAAAAAAGACCAAAUACUGUUAUUAUAUAUACUAGCUAACUAUAUUUGUCUGGUAAACCAGGCAUAUGCAGGAAAGAGAAAUAAUACAGUUUAAAAGGAAAAUAUUCCAAAGGUUUUGCCCAGAUGUUGUGCUGGAAUUGUUGUUCCCUGGUACAAGCAAUUGAUUUCAGAUGAAAACACAAGCACGUAUCUAUAGAUGUGAGAGAGAAAUAAGAUGUCCAAUGUCUCACAUAUUUCAGUUUAUAUAGCCACAGCUAUUUAAACAAUUCCAAAACUGCCUCUACGGGUGUCAAAGAGGGAGGGAAAUCUUCAACCACAUGAUCUUCUCUCCAGAGUCCUGUUAAAUCCACUGAACUUAAAACAGAACAAGAAGUGUGAAAUAUGGGUUUGAACAUGUUAUGUCAGAAAUGUAAAGGUUGGAAGCCUUUUUAGUAACCGAUAUUAAUAUUGUAUUAAAUGUUAUGAAAAGGUAGGUGUUGGAGAGAAGGGCUGGGCUCAUGUGCAAUUUUGUCAAGGUUUUUAUCUGUGAUUAUGAUUCCAGAUGUAUCUAUUCCCUGAGGAGAAAAAUGAAGUAAAGUUGGCAUGUGACAUGU